rnacentral:rRNA from 1 species
CCUACGGGUGGCAGCAGUGAGGAAUAUUGGUCAAUGGACGAGAGUCUGAACCAGCCAAGUAGCGUGAAGGAUGACUGCCCUAUGGGUUGUAAACUUCUUUUAUAUGGGAAUAAAAUGUUCCACGUGUGGGAUUUUGUAUGUACCAUAUGAAUAAGGAUCGGCUAACUCCGUGCCAGCAGCCGCGGUAAUACGGAGGAUCCGAGCGUUAUCCGGAUUUAUUGGGUUUAAAGGGAGCGUAGGUGGAUUGUUAAGUCAGUUGUGAAAGUUUGCGGCUCAACCGUAAAAUUGCAGUUGAAACUGGCAGUCUUGAGUACAGUAGAGGUGGGCGGAAUUCGUGGUGUAGCGGUGAAAUGCUUAGAUAUCACGAAGAACUCCGAUUGCGAAGGCAGUUCACUGGACUGCAACUGACACUGAGGCUCGAAAGUGUGGGUAUCAAACAGGAUUAGUACCUUGUAGUC